rnacentral:rRNA from 1 species
CAGUAGCCGCGGUAAUACGAAGGGGGCUAGCGUUGCUCGGAAUGACUGGGCGUAAAGGGCGCGUAGGCGGAUUGUUUAGUUAGGCGUGAAAUUCCUGGGCUUAACCUGGGGACAGCGCUUAAUACAGGCAGUCUAGAGUGAGGAAGAGGGUUGUGGAAUUCCCAGUGUAGAGGCGAAAUUCGUAGAUAUUGGGAAGAACACCGGUGGCGAAGGCGGCCAACUGGACUGGUAUUGACGCUGAUGCACGAAAGCUAGGGGAGCAAACAGGAUUAGAUACCCGCGUAGUCCCUGUCUCUUAUAC